rnacentral:sRNA from 1 species
GCUGGGCAGGGUGGCACAUGCCUGUAAUCCCAGCCUCUUGGGAGCCUGAGGUAGGAGGAUUGCAAGUUUGAGGGCCAGCAUGGGCAAUUUAGCAAGACCCUGUCUCAA